GAUGAACGCUGGCGGCGUGCCUAAUACAUGCAAGUCGAGCGAACGGACGAGAAGCUUGCUUCUCUGAUGUUAGCGGCGGACGGGUGAGUAACACGUGGAUAACCUACUUAUAAGACUGGGAUAACUUCGGGAAACCGUAGCUAAUACCGGAUAAUAUUUUGAACCGCAUGGUUCAAAAGUGAAAGACGGUCUUGCUGUCACUUAUAGAUGGAUCCGCGCUGCAUUAGCUAGUUGGUAAGGUAACGGCUUACCAAGGCAACGAUGCAUAGCCGACCUGAGAGGGUGAUCGGCCACACUGGAACUGAGACACGGUCCAGACUCCUACGGGAGGCAGCAGUAGGGAAUCUUCCGCAAUGGGCGAAAGCCUGACGGAGCAACGCCGCGUGAGUGAUGAAGGUCUUCGGAUCGUAAAACUCUGUUAUUAGGGAAGAACAUAUGUGUAAGUAACUGUGCACAUCUUGACGGUACCUAAUCAGAAAGCCACGGCUAACUACGUG
rnacentral:rRNA from 1 species